rnacentral:rRNA from 1 species
UACGUAGGCAGCAAGCGUUGUUCGGAAUUACUGGGCGUAAAGAGUGUGUAGGCGGUGCUCUAAGUCUGUUGUGAAAUCUCCCGGCUUAACCGGGAGGGUGCGGCGGAAACUGGAGUGCUUGAGGGUGGGAGAGGUAAGCGGAAUUCCUGGUGUAGCGGUGAAAUGCGUAGAUAUCUGGAGGAACACCGGUGGCGAAGGCGGCAUCCUGGACCGGUAUUGACGCUGAGGCGCGAAAGCUAGGGGAGCAAACGGG